rnacentral:tRNA from 1 species
UGGAGGAUCGUCUAGUGGUAGGACAGCGGGUUCUGGCCCCGCCAGCGAGGGUUCGAAUCCUUCUCCUCCAGCCA